GUGGCCUAUCGAUCCUUUA
rnacentral:snRNA from 1 species